GAUGAAGAACGCAGUGAAAUGCGAUACGUAAUGUGAAUUGCAGAAUUCAGUGAAUCAUCGAAUCUUUGAACGCACAUUGCGCCUGCCAGCACUCUGGCAGGCAUGCCUGUUCGAGCGUCAUUUCAACCAUCAAGCCCUAGGCUUGCGUUGGAGCCCUGCGGCUGCCGCAGGCCCCUAAAAGCAGUGGCGGGCUCGCUAUCACACCGAGUGCAGUAGAUUACUCUUCGCUCAGGGCGUGUGGCGGGUUCCAGCCAUGAAACCCCCCACUGUAACCCCAAAGGUUGACCUCGGAUCAGGUAGGAAUACCCGCUGAACUUAAGCAUAUCAAUAAGCGGAGGA
rnacentral:misc_RNA from 1 species